rnacentral:rRNA from 1 species
AUCAUCUAUACCAGCUACCACGCACGAUACCAGAGGAAUGAUUUUAUCGCCCUAAGAAGCAGAACGUGCCAUCACCUACAGCCCUUUCCUCUCCCGGGACUUUCACAAAAUGAAAAACGGGAGACAUCAUCGUGUGCUCGACAUUAG